GCCCAGAUAGCUCAGUUGGUAGAGCAGGGGACUGAAAAUCCCCGUGUCGGCAGUUCGAUUCUGCCUUUGGGCA
rnacentral:tRNA from 1 species